ACGCUGGCGGCGUGCUUUACACAUGCAAGUCGUGCGAGAAAGUCACCUUCGGGUGGCGAGUAGAGCGGCGCACGGGUGAGUAUCGCGUGGGUAAUCUGCCUUCGGGUCUGGGACAACUCCGGGAAACUGGAGCUAAUACCAGAUAAGACCACGAGACCUACGGGUCUUGUGGAAAAAGAUGGCCUCUUCUUGAAAGCUAUCGCCUACAGAUGAGCCCGCGUCCCAUUAGCUAGUUGGUGAGGUAAAGGCUCACCAAGGCUUCGAUGGGUAGCUGGUCUGAGAGGAUGGUCAGCCACACUGGAACUGAGACACGGUCCAGACUCCUACGGGAGGCAGCAGUAGGGAAUCUUGGGCAAUGGGCGCAAGCCUGACCCAGCAACGCCGCGUGAGGGAUCAAGGCCCUCGGGUCGUAAACCUCUGUCGGGAGGGAAGAAUGGUCGUUGUGCAAAUAGUGCUUCGGCUUGACGGUACCUCCAAAGGAAGUCCCGGCUAACUCCGUGCCAGCAGCCGCGGUAAUACGGAGGGCGCGAGCGUUGUUCGGAAUCAUUGGGCGUAAAGCGCGUGUAGGCGGCUAGGUAAGUCGGGUGUGAAAUCCCAGGGCCCAACCCCGGAAUUGCAUUCGAAACUGCUUGGCUAGAGUCGCGGAGAGGAUGGCGGAAUUCCCGGUGUAGGGGUGAAAUCCGCUCAGACCCGAAAGCGUGGGGAGCAAACAGGAUUAGAUACCCUGGUAGUCCACGCCGUAAACGUUGAGUGCUCGUCGUCGCGGGUAUUGACCCCUGCGGUGACCAAGCUAACGCGAGAAGCACUCCGCCUGGGGAGUACGGUCGCAAGACUAAAACUCAAAGGAAUUGACGGGGGCCCGCACAAGCGGUGGAGCAUGUGGUUUAAUUGGAAGCAAUGCGCAGAACCUUACCUGGUCUUGACAUGUACGGAACCUCUUGGAAACUUGAGGGUGCCUCGGGGAAUUUAGUGACAGGUGCUGCAUGGCUGUCGUCAGUUUGUGUCGUGAGAUGUUGGGUUAAGUCCCGCAACGAGCGCAACCCCUACCAUUAGUUGCCAUCAGUUCGGCUGGGCACUCUAGUGGGACUGCCGGUGUUAAACCGGAGGAAGGUGGGGAUGACGUCAAGUCCUCAUGGCCUUUAUAUCCAGGGCUACUCACGUGCUACAAUGGUCGGUACAGAGGGUCGCCAACCCGCGAGGGGGAGCCAAUCCGAAAAAGCCGGCCUCAGUUCGGAUUGGAGUCUGCAAUUCGACUCCAUGAAGAUGGAAUCGCUAGUAAUCGGAGAUCAGCACGCUCCGAUGAAUACGUUCCCGGGCCUUGUACACACCGCCCGUCACACCAUGAAAGCUGGUUGAACCAGAAGCCGGUGACCCAACCGCAAGGAGGGAGCCGUCCAAGGUAUGGCUGGUGAUUGGGGUGAAGUCGUAACAAGGUAGCCGUAGGGGAACCUGCGGCUGGAUCACCUCCUUU
rnacentral:rRNA from 1 species